rnacentral:lncRNA from 1 species
CUUGCGGCGCGAGGAGCCGGGAGGCCUGGGUGGUCUGAGCUGCUGCCGCCGCCCGCGCUGCGCUUGGAUUCAGGGGGUUGCCUAGAUAGCCGAUAGCCGAAGAGAGCGACGUCCCCGGUCCCGCGGCACUGGUGCUGCGCGGUCCAGGCAGGUUCUUUACCAGUAGCACCACCUGGGAAGCCCAGAUGAGUGAGGAGAGAAUAAAGAAACGAAUGAGCAGAUGAAGAGAAGUGAAAAUACAGCAGAAGGCACCAUGACUGUGAUCCCUCUUCCCUUCUCUCCACUCAGCCUCAGCCCCCAUAUGCAUUGAAGAUGACUGCACAGAGAAGGUGCCCAAUAAAUACUUGUAAAAAAGAAAGA